GCGGUGGGAGCAUGUGGUUUAAUUCGAUGAUACGACGAGGAACCCUUACCUGGGCUCAAAUGUAUGUUGACGUUAUUCUGAAAGGGAUACUUCUUCGGACAAUAUACAAGGUGCUGCAUGGUUGUCGUCAGCUCGUGCCGUGAGGUGUCGGGUUAAGUCCCAUAACGAGCGCAACCCCUAUCAUUAGUUGCCAUCAGGUCAAGCUGGGGACUCUAAUGAAACUGCCUACGCAAGUAGUGAGGAAGGCGGGGAUGACGUCAAAUCAGCACGGCCCUUACGGCCUGGGCUACACACGUGCUACAAUGGUCGGUACAAAGGGUUGCCAAGCCGCGAGGUGGAGCUAAUCCCAUAAAACCGAUCGUAGUCCGGAUCGCAGUCCGCAACUCGACUGCGUGAAGUCGGAAUCGCUAGUAAUCGUGAAUCAGAAUGUCACGGUGAAUACGUUCCCGGGCCUU
rnacentral:rRNA from 1 species